CCUUCGGGUACAAUUGAGUACAGGUGGUGCAUGGUUGUCGUCAGCUCGUGUCGUGAGAUGUUGGGUUAAGUCCCGCAACGAGCGCAACCCUUGUGUUUUAGUUGCAAACAGGUCAAGCUGUGCACUCUAGACAGACUGCCGUGGACAACACGGAGGAAGGUGGGGAUGACGUCAAAUCAUCAUGCCCCUUAUGAUCUGGGCUACACACGUGCUACAAUGGCCGGUACAACGGGCAGCGAAGGAGCGAUCCGGAGCGAAUCCUAAAAAGCCGGUCCCAGUUCGGAUUGCAGGCUGAAACUCGCCUACAUGAAGUUGGAGUUGCUAGUAAUCGCGAAUCAGAAUGUCGCGGUGAAUGCGCUCCCGGGUCUU
rnacentral:rRNA from 1 species